UGGGGAAUAUUGCACAAAUGGGGGAAACCCGUGAUGCAGCGACGCCGCGUGAGUGAAGAAGUAUUUCGGUAUGUAAAGCUCUAUCAGCAGGGAAGAUAAUGACGGUACCUGACUAAGAAGCACCGGCUAAAUACGUGCCAGCAGCCGCGGUAAUACGUAUGGUGCAAGCGUUAUCCGGAUUUACUGGGUGUAAAGGGUGCGUAGGUGGCAAGGCAAGUCCGAAGUGAAAAUCCGGGGCUCAACCCCGGAACUGCUUUGGAAACUGUUUAGCUGGAGUACAGGAGAGGUAAGUGGAAUUCCUAGUGUAGCGGUGAAAUGCGUAGAUAUUAGGAGGAACACCAGUGGCGAAGGCGACUUACUGGACUGCUACUGACACUGAGGCACGAAAGCGUGGGGAGCAAACAAGAUUAGAUACCCUGGUAGU
rnacentral:rRNA from 1 species